CCACCUAGAUACAGUCAAGAUGGAAUUGUGGAUCUCACGCUGUCUGUAGCUGACCUUAUUGAUACUCAAACUGGAACAUGGAAUAGAGCUUUAGUCAGCCAAGUGAUUGCAGAAGAAGACAGGAACCUCGUCCUUAACACGAAGUUCCAGUUGGCUAGUCAGGACCGUUUAUUGUGGGGCUUCUCUAAGAAUGGGAGAUACGAUUCCAAAAGUGGUUAUAAACUCCUCGAAAUUUUACAGGAGCUAAACGACCCUCCGGUUAAUCCUCUGCCUCCUUUGGAAAAGCAACUAUGGAGCAACCUCUGGAAAACUAAAGCUCCUCCAAAGCUCAAACACUUCUUAUGGAGGAUGAACUCCGGUGCUUUAGCGGUGAAGGCGCAGCUGAUUACUCGGGGUAUCCCCCUUGACGCGACAUGCUCGUUGUGUGGUCUGAGCUCGGAAAAUAUUUGUCAUGUUUUGUUUCACUGUCAGACUGCGAAACAAGUGUGGGAACGUUCUAAUUUCCCAAUACCUCAAGGGGGCUGGUCUCAAAAUUCAGUCUUCCCGAACCUCCACCAUCUUUUGGCCUGCAGCAAAAAGAAAAACCUCGGAGCAUCAGUACGUCUUGCUUUCCCUUGGAUUCUUUGGCAUAUUUGGAAAGCUAGAAACGCCUUUUGCUAUGAAAAUAUGUACCAGACCCCUCUCUAGUAUUGAGCAAGGCAAUGGAGGAAGCAGCGGUUUGGUUGAAUCUACAUGCCCUCCUCCCUUUUUCAGAGAAAACGGUGUCAUCAGAGGAUUCUUCUCCCAGCUGGCAAAAACCUCCUCCUCUGUUUCUGAAAUGUAAUGUGGGUGCCUCUUGGGAUAUUAGCUCGUGUUCUUCUGGAGCUUCUUGGAUUGUACGAGACUCGAAAGGUGUCGUCUUAUAUCACAGCAGACAGGUUUUCUCAUGCAUUGAUUCUCGCGUACAGGCUGACCUGACAGCUAUCUCUUGGGCAGCAGAAGCUAUACGAGACUUUAAACUAAAGAGAGUGAUUUUUGAAAUCUCCUCUGAUCAAGCACAAACAGCUCUGGACUUUCCUAUGUCUUUCCUUGGUAAUCCUCAUGUUUGUCAACGGGCCCUAUUUGCUAUUCAUGCUGUCUCGGAAGCAAAACUUCACUUGGUACAAGCUAACUGCACUAUCAUAGCCAACUUAAUUGCUGGAAGUGUUACUCGUGAUCACAGACACCAGUUCUAUGUUGCUCGCAAUGGUCCUGUCUGGUUAUCUUCGCAGAUUCAGCUGGAAGCCAGCUCUUGAAGCCGAAAUUUUAUCUCUUGUUUCGUCUUUUUCAUUUCCUCCCAUGGAGGUUUCUUUUUGCCCACCUACUGGUGGUUUAUUUUUAUAGUUUUUGCUUUCGUGUUUCUACCAUGUCGCUUGACUGGCAAACAAUGAUUUGAACUUUUAUGACAAAAAAAAAAAACAAUCCUUGUUUGUCUUUUGUCAAUAAAAAAACAAUCCUAGUUUGACACGAGCUUUGAUGAGAAAUUAACAACACACUCAUGGUAAUUGUUUGUGUACGUGCGUGUAUAUGUGUCUUCAUAUGGAAGAAAAGUUGCGGUUCGUAGAAGUUGCAUGUUGCCUACUUGAGAUGUUAGAGCAUCAUUAUCGCACAAAUUCUUAAUGAGUUUCUUAUUUUUUUUCGUUUUUAUCUGAUUACAAAAAAAAAAAAAAUCGUGGACCGCCACGUAUCAGUGGAGUCCGCGAACAGUUAAAAAAUCCACCGAAAACGUCUUUUAUUUAGCAACUUGGACAUACAGUUUUUGUUAUUUUGUGGGACACCCUGUACUUUUUGCUUAAGAAACUCUUUUUUUUACAUAGAUAAAUAUGUUCUUAGAUCACAUAUCUUGGCUCCGAUUGGUAAACGUAGUAAAAUUUCCAUCGUCUCUACCUAUGUCAUAUGCGAUCGCUAAACUAACUUUUAUUGAUCUGCUAAAAGCAUUGGUAUUAUAAAUUAUUUAGAAAUAUCACAUGAAAACAUGUUUUUUUUUUGGAAAACAUGGAAAAAGGCUUAUUUGCCAAAUAACCAAAAAAAGUGUAAUUAGAUUUUUAUUAAAAGGCUAGAAAGAGAUAGGAAGAGAAAUGAGGAAAGAGAAAGUGUUUUUGGUUAGAUAGUAUAUUUUUUUUUAUGGUUAUAGGGGCAAUUUCCUAAUUUUUUAUAUAAACAUGGAAAUAUUUUGAUGCCUAAUGUAGUAAAUAAAAGAUAAGAGUAGCUUCAUUGUUUUCAAUUAGUUUUGAAAGAAGAGCUUUUGAAUUCUUGCAAAUUAGAGUCUAAGAGCAUCUCCAAUGGCGAUACCCCAUUAGAGUACUUAGAAAAAGUGUUUUUGAUUUUUUAAUUAUUAUUAUUUUUUAUUUUUCACAUAAAAAAAAAGAAAUAUCAACAAAUCGCGGACUGCCACAUGUCGUGGAAACCCACAAAUAGUGCAAGGAUUCACUAAGAAAGAGUCUUUAUUUAGAGAUUUUAAGAAUUGAAUACUUAGUUUUUGGUGGGAUCCACUGAUUAUUUAAUUAUUUUUUUCCUAAGGACUCCCCUUAAGAAUUGCUGUUGCGGAUGCUCUAAACAUCUCCCAAAAGACACUCUAUUAUGAAGUUUCAAUAACUUUAUAUUUGAAGUUUCAAGGUGUUCUUCUCCAAAAGAAAAACUUCAAACUUAACUUCAAACCUAUUUGUAUCUUAUAUUAUGGUCCUUAUAUUUGUCAUCAUUAAUUUAAAUUCAUAAAAGUUUUGUAAAUAACUAAGCACAUACAUAAAAAUAUUACAACAUUAUUAAUUAAUAAAAUUUUAUAUUAAAAUAUAAAUUUUAAAUCAAAUAACAUAAUUAAUAUUAAACUCCAAACAAAAUAUCGUAUUAUUCCAUAACGUUAUUUCCGUAACGCAUAUAUGAUCAACUAGUACAUUUCGAAGUUAAAAAUGAAUCUCUUUAUUUUUAAUUUGUAAAUUACAAAGUAAAAAUUGUUAAAAUUAGGUGAUCUUAAACUUGUAAAUACAUUAGAUCUAAACAAAAAAAAGUAAAAAAGAGAAAUAAAUAUUGCUAAAUUAUUUAACUUCUAAAGAUGAUAUUAAUACUCAGUGAAUACAUUCGAUCUUAAUAAGAAAGAAUUGUACGAAAAAGACAUCAAAACAACAACAACAACAACAACAACAACAACAACAACAACAACUAUCUUCGGUUACACAAAAUUUGUUUGGACAAUAUUUUAGAGAUUUUGGAGAUUCAAGAUCAAUUUUAUCUGACUAUUAGUGUUGCUGUAAUAUUUAAUUUUUUGUAAUAGUUAUGUCUUCAUGUAACUUUUAAAAAAGUUUUUUGUUGUUAGGUUUCUUUUGUAUUGUUGUUGUCUAAAUCUAGUUUUAAAAUAUUUUAAAUCUUACUUUAAAAUUUUAUUUAAUUUUUUUGUGUAAAACUUAAAUUUAUUUAAAAAUGAAAUUUUUAGGAGAUAUAAAUUUUUUAAGCAUUAAUACGAUAAAUAAGAAAAUAUUUAAGAAUUAUAAAUGUGAUGUGUAAUCGUAGAGAUCAAAAUGCAAACAAAAAUAUGAAACUUCAAAUUUGAAGUUUUGAAUAGUGAAACUUCAAAUAUAGAGUUUCACUACUCAAAAUUUCAAAUUUGAAAUUUUGAAAUUCAUUUUAGGAGAAAAAAAACUUCGUAUUUGAAGUUAUAGAGCGUGAAUUGUAAUACAUAUGUGACGCACUUGGAUUUAGUGUAGAUGAAUAGCCAACAGAAAAAGAUAUUGAAUUCUAUAAAUCUUCACGUCAAAAUACAUAUUCUAAAAGUAUUUUAUGGGUUGUCUACCUUUUGAUCGCCUGUUGAUCAUUAAAAAUCAAGUAAAAUAUGCACUUAUAACAUGUAGAGAUUGAGGUAAACACGUCGAAAGCAUUGAAAAUAUGUUUUCAGUAACGACUAACGAGCAAUAUAAAUCGUGACUUCGUAUUAGCAUGGAAUGUUGAAUGCAAAUAAGAUCUAAAUGUAAUAUUGAGGCUUUCAAGAAGCAAAAAGAAGCUAAGUUGGCCACCCUUGAGACUGAUGAUCACACUGAGACUGGGCAGCAUCCACCACUAUCAAUAGAAGAGGAGAAUGAGCUGUUUAUUCAGGUUGGGUUUCUUACUCAACAUUUUCUUUUUUGCUUUCAUAAUAGUCUCUCACUUGUUAUUGAUAUAGUCUUGCUUGUUAUUGCUUGUUAUAGGCCACUUUCACCAAUGACAGGGGGCAAAUUUAUGGCCUUGGAAGCUUGAAGAACCAACUUAAUGAAGUGGCAUAUGACCCAAGAAGCUUGUCCUCUUUCAUCCAAAUGCAACAGCAACUUGAAGAAGCUCAACGCCAAAUCAAAGAACAAGCUGCUCUUCUUGCAAAGGCUGAGGAAGAUCGUGCCCAAGCUGCUGCUGCUGCGGCAAUUUCCGUGAGUUAUUCAUGAGCUCCAAUCCAUCCGAUUUGGAUUCAUUAUUUCUAGGCUUCCGCAGCAGAGUGUCAGACACUAUGAAUGACCAUCUUACAUCCCCCAUCUCAGCCGAUGAAAUAAAGAAUGCUGCUUUCAGUGUGAAGGGGAGUAGUGCUCCAGGGGAAGACGGUUUAACUGGUAUCUUCUACCAGCAAUUCUGGCAUAUUGUGGGCCCAGAUUUAACAGCUGAGAUUCAGAGUUUCUUUAGAUCAGCGGUCAUUCCAGAUGGAUGGAACCACACACAGCUUAGUCUCCUGCCAAAAGUCCCAAAUCCCUCGAGAAUGCAAGACAUGAGGCCGAUUAGCUUAUGUUCGGUACAGUAUAAGAUCAUCUCGAAGAUACUGUGCAACCGCUUAAAAAAGAUCCUACCAGAGAUUAUAUCAGAAACUCAGGGAGCCUUUGUCUCUGGCCGUCUCAUCUCAGACAAUAUUAUCAUUGCACAUGAGAUGGUGCAUGGUCUACGGACUGUCGAUAAGGUUGCAGAGGGUUGGAUGGCGAUUAAAACUGAUAUGUCGAAAGCCUAUGACCGGGUUGAAUGGAACUUCUUGGAAGUUUUGCUCAAAAAAAUGGGUUUUGCUCACACAUGGAUCCGCUGGAUAAUGGCUUGCGUCAGCUCUGUCUCCUUCUCAGUUCUGUUAAAUGGCAAUUCACAUGGUUUCAUCAAACCGGAAAGAGGCAUUCGCCAAGGGGAUCCUUUGUCGCCUUUCCUCUUCAUUCUCUGCGCUGAGGCCUUAGUGAGUUCCCUUAAUACAUCUGAGGAAGCAGGAAGGCUCCACGGCAUCAAACUGACUAGCUCCUGCCCUUCCAUUCAUCAUCUUUUAUUCGCCGAUGAUAGUCUUCUGCUGUGUAAAGCUAAUCCAGAAGAAGCUUUAGAAAUUCUAUCAUGUUUGAAGCUCUAUGGUGAUGCAUCAGGUCAGAUGGUUAACUAUCUCAAGUCAUCUGUGAUCUUUGGUUCUAGAGUUCCCGAGGCCUCAAAAGGAGUUAUCAAGGAAAUCUUGGGUAUUGAUAAAGAAGGUGGUGAAGGGACAUACUUGGGUCUUCCUGAAUGUUGCAGUGGAUCGAAAAUCAAACUUUUGAGUUUUAUUCGAGAGAAGUUACAAGGACGCUUGCGAGGUUGGUUUGCGAAAUCAUUGUCUCAAGGUGGGAAAGAAAUCCUGUUGAAAUCAGUUGCUUUAGCCCUCCCAGUCUAUGCCAUGUCAAUCUUUAAACUCCCAAAAGAUGUCUGCGAAAAACUAACUAGUGCCAUGGUGGAGUUCUGGUGGAGCAGUGGGAACAAUAAGAAAAAGAUUUCAUGGGUCGCUUGGAAAAAGUUGUGUACAGACAAAGAAGUUGGCGGGUUAGGAUUCCGCGAUAUUGAGAAGUUUAACCAAUCAUUGCUUGCUAAGCAAGCUUGGCGUAUCAUGCAAUCCCCAAACUCUCUCUUAUCUCGCCUGCUGCAUCAUCGGUAUUUUCCCCGUUCUUCUAUCUUGGAGUGUGGUAUAAGAUCACGACCUUCAUUCGCCUGGCGCAGCAUUAUGCAUGGUCGUGACUUACUUAAGCAAGGUUUGGUGAAAGAGAUCGGGAAUGGGCAGAGUACUAAGCUUUGGCUCGAUAACUGGUUACUAGCUCCUGUCCCUCGUCCACCUAGAUACAGUCAAGAUGGAAUUGUGGAUCUCACGCUGUCUGUAGCUGACCUUAUUGAUACUCAAACUGGAACAUGGAAUAGAGCUUUAGUCAGCCAAGUGAUUGCAGAAGAAGACAGGAACCUCGUCCUUAACACGAAGUUCCAGUUGGCUAGUCAGGACCGUUUAUUGUGGGGCUUCUCUAAGAAUGGGAGAUACGAUUCCAAAAGUGGUUAUAAACUCCUCGAAAUUUUACAGGAGCUAAACGACCCUCCGGUUAAUCCUCUGCCUCCUUUGGAAAAGCAACUAUGGAGCAACCUCUGGAAAACUAAAGCUCCUCCAAAGCUCAAACAC
rnacentral:lncRNA from 1 species